CGAAGAUAAGACGGAUUAGCGGCGGACGGGUGAGUAACACGUGAGUAACCUGCCUUUACACAGGGAUAGCCUCGGGAAACCGGGAUUAAAACCUGAUGAAACUAUCAAAUCACAUGAUUAAGAAAGUUAAAACUCCGGUGGUAAAAGAUGGACUCGCGUCCCAUUAGCUAGUUGGUGAAGGUAACGGCCCACCAAGGCAACGAUGGGUAGCCGGCCUGAGAGGGUGAACGGCCACAUUGGAACUGAGAAACGGUCCAAACUCCUACGGGAGGCAGCAGCU
rnacentral:rRNA from 1 species